rnacentral:misc_RNA from 1 species
GAAAUGCGAUACGUAAUGUGAAUUGCAGAAUUCAGUGAAUCAUCGAAACUUUGAACGCAAGUGGCGCUUUUGGACCAAACCCAGAAGCAUGCCUGUUUGAGUAUCGGCAAACUUAAAUCACCAAAACCAUGGUGGAACUGGGCGUUGCUGCGCUUUGUUGCGCACCAUUGCCUCAAGUACGAUGGCCUGGGUCACGCGGAUAGCACGCGCAGCCAGAGCUGGCUGGUGAGCAGCCGGUGUUGUUGGAGGAUCUUUGCAUCUUUUAAAACCACCUGCGCUGGGCACCAUUACGGUCGGCUCCCUGCCGCUGUCCUGCGACAAUUUGUUUACCCACGGUCCUGAAGUGGAAAGGGCUUUACUGCCCAACCUUAAAAAUUCGAUCUCAAAUCAGGCAAGACUA